UACGUAGGUGGCAAGCGUUGUCCGGAUUUAUUGGGUUUAAAGGGUGCGUAGGCGGUCUUUUAAGUCAGUGCUGAAAUAUCCCGGCUUAACCGGGAGGGUGGCAUUGAUACUGAAGGACUUGAGUUCAGUCGAGGUAGGCGGAAUUGACGGUGUAGCGGUGAAAUGCUUAGAUAUCGUCAAGAACACCGAUAGUGUAGACAGAUUACUAGGCUGAAACUGACGCUGAGGCACGAAAGUGUGGGGAUCAAACAGG
rnacentral:rRNA from 1 species